UACGAAGGGUGCAAGCGUUACUCGGAAUUACUGGGCGUAAAGCGUGCGUAGGUGGUUCGUUAAGUCUGAUGUGAAAGCCCUGGGCUCAACCUGGGAAUGGCAUUGGAUACUGGCGACCUAGAGUGCGGUAGAGGGGUGUGGAAUUCCCGGUGUAGCAGUGAAAUGCGUAGAUAUCGGGAAGAACACCUGAGGCGAAGGCGGCUAUCUGGCGGUACAUUGACGCUAAGGCGCGAAAGCGUGGGGAGCAAACAGG
rnacentral:rRNA from 1 species